CAUGGAUCAGACUCCUUGAAGUGACUGGGAUGUGGCCAGACAUCACAGAAAACUGUGCUGAAUGAUGGAGACUCUCAGUAUUUAUAGAAGAGUCAUGUAUAAUGAGAUGGAACUUCUACAAAUGAAUUCUGAACUUCUCACCACUGGAGGAAGUGCAGCUGCCCCCAGUGCAGCCCUGCCUCUUUCUUUGUUUUGCUGCCUUAGGCCAUUGGAGCUACAGCUUCCAGUACAAACCCUUCUGCUCUCCCAAACCCUUGGUAUCACAGAGCUGAAGUUGCAGGGCAAUUAGCUAACCUGAAAUCUAAAGGAAAACAGAUGCCUCCAAGAAGACGUGAGACUUGAGCAAAUGCCUCCCUGGGGCAGAGGCUGGACACCAAAUAAACUGCACACCAGGAGAGGACAGGGAUCUCACGAAGAAAAGAGCAAGGCCUGAGAAUGGAGGACUCCGGGUGUUGAAAUCUUGGUAACUGGGGUAGUGCCCGUGGAGAAGAGGGCAGGGUAAGGUGCCUCCACACAACUGCCAUGGGUUCUAGAAGGUGGCAAGGACCAAAAAAAUAUAAAAACGGAUAAGAGGCUGAGAUGGCCCAUUUCAACCACCAAUGAGUUUUCCUGGCUGUCUGGUGUCCGGGCCAGUGUUGGGAGGACAAAGGCCUGAGCACAGCUGAUGACAACUGCUCCCAUCCCCUGAAUGUCAAUGUCUGAGGCAGUGUGCAUGCAUUUUCUUACUUAAUUCUCACAAAACCAAAUAAUGUAAACACUGAAGCUACUUGGUAUCAGAAAAAAAAAAAAGUUCCACUUAGAAGCAGCCUAUAUAAAAUUAGGCCUCAAUUUCAUAGAAAUUGUAAAAAAGGAAUUGGUUGGAACGUCAUCUUGAAAAGCAUUUAAAUUUUUAAAAAUUUACUUAAUGUGUAUUUGCAUAUAAAUAUAGAAUAUAAUUGCCAAGAGGCACCAACUCUUAGAAGAAUAAGUGUUAGGAGUGGACGGAGGCUGGAAUGGUUUUUUCUCAGAAUUUAUACUAUAGUACCAACAAAUCCUUCAUUUCAAAUCUCACACAAUCAUUAAAGAGUAAUUUUGAAAAAUCAUUUGAAAUUAUUUGAGUGUCCUAUCGAUUUUCAUAGGGGGCUCUAUUCAUCGAAAUGCUCUCUUUUGAAGUGCCCACAGUAUCAUUAGCAUCAUGAAUUUUUUCUUAUUAUGUUUCCAUUUUUAACAGUCAAAGGCUUUGCCUAUGAUCCCUGCAGCUCCCCAAUAUCACCUGCCUCAACUUCUUGAAUUACAACUUUUGCAAGAUCUCAGAUUGCACUUUGCAAUGAAUAUGGAUUCAAUUUGCACAAGAUAGUGUGAGGUUUGCCACACUUCAAUCAAGGCAAGACCAACCCUAUGGCAGAGGGUUUCUGGGCUCCACGCCUCCUCUCCCAGCUGCCUGACCUCACUGCAGUGGUGCAAAGCAGUGCCGCUCACACUGAGUCCCACCUUGGGCUUCCAAAACCCUUUCCUCUUCUCCGCCUCGGAUUUCUCUCUGUAAACAUGAAAUGCCACCUCCCCACUGCAGGCAUAUCCCCACCUCUCCUCCUUCAUGAGACAAUUCUCAGGCAUAUUCUACCCAGUUCUUCAGAGGGUAUCCAGUGUCAUUGGGCCCCAGUGGUCCACAGGGGCACCCAGCUCAAUAACUCACUCUUUCUUGGCUGACUCCCUGCAAAGCUAGUAUCUCUCUCCCUGCCCCUGCCCCCAUCCCAACCUCUCAGCAUCACCCUCCAACCACCUG